GACGAACGCUGGCGGCGUGCUUAACACAUGCAAGUCGAACGGAAAGGCCCCUUUGGGGGUACUCGAGUGGCGAACGGGUGAGUAACACGUGAGUAACCUUCCCUUGACUUCGGGAUAACUUCAGGAAACUGGGGCUAAUACCGGAUAGGAAUCCUUGCUGCAUGGUGGGGGUUGGAAAGCUUCGGCGGUUUUGGAUGGACUCGCGGCUUAUCAGCUUGUUGGUGGGGUAGUGGCUUACCAAGGCUUUGACGGGGAGCCGGCCCGAGAGGGCGACCGGCCACAUUGGGACUGAGAUACGGCCCAGACUCCUACGGGAGGCAGCAGUGGGGAAUAUUGCACAAGGGGCGGAAGCCGGAUGCAGCAACGCCGCGGGCGGGAUGACGGCCUUCGGGUUGUAAACCGCUUUCAGCAGGGGCGAAGCUUGUGGUGACGGUACCUGCAGAAGAAGCACCGGCUAACUACGUG
rnacentral:rRNA from 1 species